rnacentral:rRNA from 1 species
UACGUAGGGUGCAAGCGUUGUCCGGAAUUACUGGGCGUAAAGAGUUCGUAGGCGGUUUGUCGCGUCGUUUGUGAAAACCAGCAGCUCAACUGCUGGCUUGCAGGCGAUACGGGCAGACUUGAGUACUGCAGGGGAGACUGGAAUUCCUGGUGUAGCGGUGAAAUGCGCAGAUAUCAGGAGGAACACCGGUGGCGAAGGCGGGUCUCUGGGCAGUAACUGACGCUGAGACGCGAAAGCGUGGGGAGCGAACAGG